rnacentral:ncRNA from 1 species
AGGAGCCGUGUGAGGUGAAAGUCUCAUGCACGGUUCUGAAGCCGAGUCACCACAGCGAUGGGGUGGCUUAGGGUAAUACAGAAUGGAUUUUACAACAGGGAAACUUUUCGGGGGCUUAUAACUGUUCGUCCACUAAUAUUAUAGAUUGGUACUCCUUCGGUCUAUUGAUGGACUUAGC